rnacentral:rRNA from 1 species
AACGAACGCUGGCGGCAUGCCUAACACAUGCAAGUCGAACGAACCCUUCGGGGUUAGUGGCGCACGGGUGCGUAACGCGUGGGAAUCUGCCCUUGGCUUCGGAAUAACAGUUAGAAAUGACUGCUAAUACCGGAUGAUGUCUUCGGACCAAAGAUUUAUCGGCCAGGGAUGAGCCCGCGUAGGAUUAGGUAGUUGGUGGGGUAAAGGCCUACCAAGCCGACGAUCCUUAGCUGGUCUGAGAGGAUGAUCAGCCACACUGGGACUGAGACACGGCCCAGACUCCUACGGGAGGCAGCAGUGGGGAAUAUUGGACAAUGGGCGCAAGCCUGAUCCAGCAAUGCCGCGUGAGUGAUGAAGGCCUUAGGGCCGUAAAGCUCUUUUACCCGGGAUGAUAAUGACAGUACCGGGAGAAUAAGCCCCGGCUAACUCCGUGCCAGCAGCCGCCGCGG